rnacentral:ncRNA from 2 species
AUCCCCUGCAGCGCCGAUUUGAGGUUCAGCUUGCGGGCGCUCUACAAAUUCCGCUAAAGAGACCGGAAACCCGUUCUC